rnacentral:sRNA from 1 species
UUGAAUGUACCCUAAAAAAGAGAAACCAGGCCUGUUCCUUCCUGAAAGUUUCCUUUUUGUUCUCGUUCCCAGUUGGGUGGGAGCCACCUUUAACCCAGGGCCCUGACCUUGCUCAUAACUCUCCUGACAUUCCCUUGGACCUCUGCUUUGUUUCUAGUUCCAUUUCAUGCCGUACCUGGGCUCUUGCUUUGGAUUUAGUAGGUGACUCUUCUCCCAGAACCACUUCACUCCCUGGUACAGAUCUAGCACAGAACUUGAAGUUGUCAACAGGUUCCAGAGCAUAUGCUCUUUCACUAGGCCUCCAAACACCAAACAUGGGUCUCCUGGCUCAUUUCUUGUCAAUGAUGCUUCCCAUCCAAGCCCUGCCCAGUUAUAUACCUUCAUCCAACAUCAUUACCUGGCAGCUGCCAGAAAGCCAGCACUGCCAGCAUCUAAGCAUCUCCUUAUGGGGAAAAAAAGCAGUGUUAAACAUAUGCCUCAAGAAUUUGCAAAUGUUCUCUCUAAGGUAAAGAGGGGUCCUUUGCUAACAUAGUUGAAGGAAACUUGAGAGGAAAAGGGGGGAGGGAGAAGAAGAGGGGGAGGAGAAGGCCAAGAUCUGUGGCAGUGAUGGCUCUGUGGGCUGCUGCCUCUCUUCUGGGAUCUUUGUUAUACGGGUGAUAACCCUCUACUUUGCUAAAGCUUCUUAGUUUGACUUCUGUAGCUGAAUGAUGAACCUUACCUGAUACAGUUCUCUUCUCUGCAAUGAGGAUUAACAUAUAGCCUUCUCCUUAUAGCUGCUUUUCCAGGACACAGCUUGGUUCAGCCUCAUGUCCAGUGGUUGUGUUAUAAGUCAUGGACUAGAGCCCUUUGGCAAGUUACUGAACACUGUAUCUCAGUUUUAUCAUCUCUAAAAUGGGAAAAGUUGUGUCAUACUGCCAAGAUUCAGAUGGACAUUAGCUAAGAUAGUCCAUAAAGUACUUAGCAAGUAGAGUUUGGCAAUGUUAGGCAAGUAUUUACUAUGUGAGGGUUAUUAUCUAUUUGAUUCUUUUUCUCCUUCUGUAGCUGGUUGGCUCCAUUCAGGUCGAGAUUCUGGACAGACACAAUGGUCAUUAUUUCGAAUUUCCAAAGCCAAAAGACCUCAAGACAGAAAGCGGAUGAACUGGAGAAAGUCCAGGAGGACUCAGAAAAUAUUCUGAAAAAAAUUAUGGGUAUCUGGAGGCUGUGGAGAAAUGUGGGAGUCUCUCCACACAUUCCCUCAGGACUCCUCCUCUUCCUACCCCUAUAGUGGUGACCUCUAUGACCUCUACAGAGGGAAGUCAAGACAAAGACAUUAUAGAAAUGAAUAGCCAUGACUGCAUCCAGGUAAGAGGAGAAGAUGUGGCAGAAGAGCUAUCAAAGCUGCUGUUUUCCUCACUUGUCCAGAGUUACAAAUUGUUUGGUCUGUCGAAUAAAGAAUAAUGUCCAAUAAAGAAUAGUGAGUGAGAGAGGGAGUGUGAAAGAGUAAUAGAAUGAACUGAUGCUGCUGAUUAAUCCAUGUAUAUAAUCUCUAUCUAUCUAUCUAUCUAUCUAUCUAUCUAUCUAUCUAUCUAUCUAUCAUCUAUCUAAUUAAUCUAUUAUUUAUUUCCAAAGCAGGGUUGUGAAUUGACUUAUGUCACCUAAAAAGAUACAUGAAAGUCUUAACCCCUAGUACCUGGAAACGUGACUGUUUUUAGAAACUGGAUCUCUGCGAUCAAGUUGGAGUGAUUCGUGCUGAGCUAAUACUGCCUCUCAUUGUCCCCAUAAGAUGAGUAGGUUUUGAGUCUGGAAUGAUGGCUUUGGUUAAGGAUAAUACAGCACUUGCAGAAAACAUGAGCUUGGUUUUCAGCAACCAUGUCAAACAGCUCACAACUAUCUGUAACUUUCAACAUCGCUCAGAAGGAUUGAUGGGGCUCAUCAAUGACAUUAUCUGCCGUCACCUAGCUUGUCAAAUCAUCAAAGAAGUCCAUCAGCUAUAAAUCUGACUAUCUCAGUGACAGAGAAGUGUGAUGCGAAGCUGUGGCAGAGUGCAGUGGAAACAAGGGGUCUCAUGAUACUGCAUUACCCAGGCUCCAUGGAUAAAGGGAUCACAGAAGCAAAAUGUCAUCUAUUGUCUCUCCUGAGGAGGGAGCAGGGAGGUGGGGGCUUUCUGUAGAGACUCCAAAGUGAGAAGGGCUGAGCCUGGCAGAGCUGGGUCCUUUUCUUGGAUAGAUAGGCUUCAGGAGAGGACCCUGAUGUAUCACAUUGGCUCAGCAAAGGCUUCUCCAAAUAGAAAUGGAGGUAGAGGGCAUUAAUUCCUUCUUUUCCUCCAGGACUAUGGCUGGGACAUUGGACAUGGUUCCUUGGACUAUGAUGCUACUCUCGGGAGAAGGCAGCAGUGGGAGAAACUGAAAAUGUCUGCACUGAAACCUGACAUGUCUCAUGACUACCCUGCUCACAUCAGGACCAGCCUCAGUGGAGGAGCAAUUUGUAAAUGAUGCUGAUGCACCCGGGGACUCUUUCUAUACAGCAUAGUCCUUCUUCAGCAAGGCAAGUGUAUCAAUUUCACAUUCCUAGCCAGCUCUAUUGAGAGCUUUGCCUCUGGGGUUCUUUAGUCUGUCCCUUUUGGUAUAAGUAUUUUGUCUCCACCGCCCUGCUUACCUGUACACCUAGGCUGUUAGGAUGUGACUGUCCCAGGUUUUGACAGUCCUCAUAGGCUGGUGCAACAUAUGCUCAUUUCUCAUUCUCUACCUUCUAGCAUGUGAUGCUGCCAUUGAGCGGGGUCACCUAUGCUAGACAGAACAAAUUUAGCAAGAGUUAGGUAGACAGGCCUUUAGUUUAUAUCAGUGAUAACUUUGCCCUUCCGGAAAGGCUAAGUUAAACGUUCUCUUUCUUGCUCUUUGGAAUAGACUCUGACUUCUAUGUGGUAUUGAUUUGGGAUACACAGGGAGCUGGUGAUGUGUAAAGUUGAUUAUGCUUUUGAUUUACUUUAAUAUUUGUGGAGUGCCUGCUUUGUUCAUAUAUCCCCUUAUAUGCCCAAACUCAUCUGAGUUUCUUUAAAGAAUGGCAGAGUGCAGGAACUUUCUUGGCAUGAAUAGUGUUACCUCCCUGUGUAUAUAUUACCCACAUCUCCCACACAGCAGAACUUAGGGCCACAGUAGGUUCCAGAAGAGAGAGAAAACAGCAGACAGAGCCUGUGUCAUUUGGGGAUUUCUAGUUGAGAGCUGUAACAGCUUCAUCCAUUAUUGGAAUUCAAAAAGAAAACAAACCCUCUGCCCCAAAAUUAUCUGGACGGACAAAGCUAUUCCUACCCUGGCUGAGGGCAAGAAAAACCACGUCCAGAUGGGUUUCAUCAGUAACAUGCUCGCUGGUGUAUAAAAGUAUUCCUCUUGGCUUCUGGGUGAUAACCUUUACCCAAGGGGAUAAUGAAUGUCUUUUCCCUAGACAUUUCAAUGCAUGGUAUUUUUAAAACCACACAGGCAAAAUCAAAGCAUGUGUUCAAAAUGUCAUAGUCUGAUUUUUUCCCUUAUUUAUGUAUUUGUGAAAAAUUACCAGUCUCUUUAUAUCUACCUUUCAAGAAUUGUUUUCUCACUCUCUGCAGCAGUGAAAAACCAUUACAAAAAAAUUCUACAACCAAUCAGAAUACAGAGCACACGUGACCGUGUAGUGGCCAGUCCAACUGAUACAUUUACAA